rnacentral:lncRNA from 1 species
UGCUGGUCUGGUAGUCAUGGUGACAGUGUUUGGACUGGUCCUGCUCCUGUUCUACAGACAGAGGAGAGGAACCAGGAGAACACCACCACCACCACCAGUCUCCUCCAACACACAACCUGACCCUACUGGAGAGGUUGACUGUGUGUGUGAGGAGAUCAGAGAGGCAGACAGACAGACAGACAUACUCCUUGUGGUCAUCUCUUCAGUCUACUCUACUGUAAACUCACCUACCAACUCUACAACCUACCCAGCUGGUCAAGCCUCUACAACCUACCCUGCUGGACAAGCCUCUUCAACCUACCCUGCUGGUCAAGCCUCUACAACCUACCCUGCUGGACAAUACCUCUACAACCUACCCUGCUGGACAAGCCUCUACAACCUACCCUGCUGGCCAAGCCUCUACAACCUACCCUGCUGGCCAAGCCUCUACAACCUACCCUGCUGGACAAGCCUCUACAACCUACCCUGCUGGACAAGACUCUACAACCUACCCUGCUGGACAAGCCUCUACAACCUACCCUGCUGGCCAAGUCUCUACAACCUACCAUGCUGGACAAGCCUCUACAACCUACCCUGCUGGACAAGCCUCUACAACCUACCCUGCUGGCCAAGCCUCUACAACCUACCCUGCUGGCCAAGCCUCUACAACCUACCCUGCUGGCCAAGCCUCUACAACCUACCCUGCUGGCCAAGCCUCUACUACCUACCCUGCUGGUCAAGCCUCUACAACCUACCCUGCUGGACAAGCCUCUACAACCUACCCUGCUGACCAAGCCUCUACAACCUACCCUGCUGGUCAAGCCUCUACAACCUACCCUGCUGGACAAGCCUCUACAACCUACCCUGCUGGACAAGCCUCUACAACCUACCCUGCUGGCCAACCCUCUACAACCUACCCUGCUGGUCAAGCCUCUACAACCUACCAUGCUGGACAAGCCUCUACAACCUACCCUGCUAACCAAGCCUCUACAAUCUACCCUGCUGGUCAAGCCUCUACAACCUACCCUGCUGGACAAUUCUCUACAACCUACCCUGCUGGACAAGCCUCUACAACCUACCCUGCUAGCUCUGCCACAGGUAUUCCACAGAUUCAUGUGUAACUGCACACGUGGAGUGUUUGAAAGUGGGCGUUGACAAAUAAGUGGGAAGAGCAACAUUAGUGGGUGUAUGGAAACCUAACAGCUAAUUGGGCAGUUUGGUGGCCACUCAAUAUCUAUUUGCAUGGCUGCUUGCUGCUUCCUUGUAGCAUUUUAG